rnacentral:misc_RNA from 1 species
AAAGUCGUAACAAGGUUUCCGUAGGUGAACCUGCGGAAGGAUCAUCGUUGGUGUUUGUGUCUGUGGGCACUGACCGAGGUUUUCUUUCGAAUCCCAACCAAGAGGAGAGGAGUUGACUGAGGUUUGCGUGGAGGGAGAAAAGGACAAAACUUUCAACAACGGAUCUCUUGGCUCUC